rnacentral:lncRNA from 1 species
UUUUUUUUUUUUUUUGCCUUUUUGUCUUUUGUUGUUGUUGUUGUUGCUAUUUCUUGGGCCGCUUCCGCGGCAUAUGGAGGUUCCCAGGCUAGGGGUUGAAUCGGAGCUGUAGCCACCGGCCUACGCCAGAGCCACAGCAACGCAGGAUCCGAGCCACGUCUGCAACCUACACCACAGCUCACUGCAACGCCAGAUCGUUAACCCACUGAGCAAGGGCAGGGACCGAACCCGCAACCUCAUGGUUCCUAGUCGGAUUCGUUAACCACUGCGCCACGACGGGAACUCCUCUUCAUUACUUUUCAUAACCUGAAAGACUGUUUAUUAUAUAUUAAUUUCAUAUUCAGUUACAUUCUCUCAAUUCUGUAAUUAUUUUUAAUAAUUUUUCAGUUGAUUCUCUUAGAUUUUUCUAGUCAUUCAGUUAUAUUAUUUGUAAAUAAUGGUGAUUACUUCCUUUUUAAUUUUUUUUUUUGUCUUUUGUCCUUUUAGGGCCACACCCGUGGCAUAUGGAGGUUCCCAGGCUAGGGGUCUAAUUGGAGCUGUCGCCGCUGGCCUAUGCCAGAGCCACAGCAACGCCAGAUCCAAGCUGUGUCUGCGGCCUACACCACAGCUCAGGGCAAUGCCGGAUCCUUAACCCACUGAGCGAGGCCAGGGAUCGAAUCCGCAACCUCAUGGUUUCUAGUCAUAUUCAUUUCUGUUGUACCACGACAGGAAAUCCCCCCUUUUUAAUUUUUAUAUCUAUCUUUAUUUCUUUCUCCUGUUUAAUUGUAUUGGCUAAUGUCUCCAGGAAAUAUAGAAUAAUAGUGGUGAUAAGAGUACUUUCUUUUUUUCUGAGUUUAAUGAAGGAUGCUUCAGUUGUUUCCUUAUUAAGCUUUGUGGUAGCUUUGGGGAUUAGAUAUAUUUUAUUAUGUUAAGGGAUAUAUAUUUCUAUUUUAUUGGAUUUUUAAUAUAUCAAGAGUAAAUGUUGAAUGCUUUAUUAGUUGCCUUUUAAACAUCAGUGGAAAUGACAAUGUGAUUUUUCUUUGUUCACAUAUUAUGGCAGUCUGUGUAAUAGAUUUCCCAAAAUUGAUGCAUCCUUGCAAUCCUAAAAACAAAACAAAAAUAACAUUUGAUCUUGGUAUAUUAGUCUUUUAAUAUACUGCUAGAUUCUGUUUCACAAUAUUUUAUUUAAGACUUCUACUUCAGUCUUCAAGAUUGAUUUUUAAAAAUUUUGGUGUUACUUUCAUUGGGUUUUGGAAUAAAUGUUAUUCUCCCUUCACAAAAAGAAUUUGGAAACUUUUCUAAAUUUAGGAAUAAUUUCAAUAGCAUUGAAAUCAUCUGUUUUUUAAAGCUUUAGUAGAAUUCUCCAGUGAUAUUAUCUGGGUAAAUGUUUAGAGGGGAAGUUAGACCCUGAUAAUUUUUCUCUAUUUUCUGUUAGGUGAUUAUUCUAUUUAGUAUUUUCUCUUUACUGGAACCAGUUUUUAUGUGUUAAAAUUGUUUUAGAAAAGAUUUCUUCUUUAUCCAUAAUUUAUAUUCAUAGAAUUGAGAAAAGGGAUUGUUAUGGUUCUUUAACUUUCCUCUGAAUUCAUAGGUCUUUCUGUUUUUAACUUUGUAUAUUUGUGCUUUGUCUCCCCUUUUUUUUUUUGAUUACAUUAACUAAUUAUCUGAUUUAUUGCUUCUUUUUCCUGAAUAAACAGCUUUUGACUUAUUCUGUCAUCUUCUAUUUUCUUGUUGAUUUUCACAUUUAAUUUUAUUCUUUCCUUCUACUUUCCUUAUAUUUAUUUUUCAUUUUCCAACUUGCAACUUAAUUUCUUUAUUUUCAUUCUUUUUCAUUAGUUAAUAUAAAAAGUACUGAAUUUUCAUUACAAUAUUGCUUUAACUGGAUCCCAUAGGCAUUUUUUUUUUAUGUAGUGCUUUUCAUUUACCAUUUCCUAGAUAUUCCAUAAUUUCCUUUUUUAUCUUCUCUUUUAACCAGUAGAGUUUUUUAAUAGUUUUGAGGUGGUAGAUUCUUUUUUUUUUUAAUUUCCUGAUUUUGUUAAUUACUGCACUGUUACUUUGUUUUACUGCAUUGAGAAUUUUUCUGUAUAUAUUUAUAGACCACAGAAAAUAAUGCAAAGAUAAUAGCAAAUUGUUUCUAUUUUUUACCUCAGAGAGGUGUCUUGUGAGGGAAGUGGGAAAGCUUAUCAAUUUUUCUUUAUACCAUUUUAAGUUUUUUGACUUGCUAAGACAAGCCUGUAAUACUUUUAUAAUUUAAAAAAUUGAAUACAAUUUAUACAUGUACAUAUGUAUGUAUCUGUCUGUCAACACACACACAAACACAUGCACACCUGGAAGGAAAUAUGGAAAUAUAUCAAAAAUAUUAGGUGUUUACUUUGGAAAUAGGUUGGAGAAUUUAGAGACCAAUGAAAGGAACUCCCAUUAUGUGUUUUAUGUACUGUAUUUAUAUUUUUACAGUGACAAUUUUAGGAGAAAACUUAGUCAAACGGCUAUGUGAGGUCAAAAUAAAAAGGUGUUUGUGGAAUUAAUAAAAAUGCUGGAUGAUAGAAAAUAAGAAACAAGAAGCCAGUCAGAAUUAAAGUGUUCUAAGGCAGUUGCCUUAAAACUGAAAUGUGUAUAACCUAGGAGGUAUUAAAACUUUCUAAAAGGUAUGUGGGCACAAUAAAUUAAAUGAAUUAAUGUCUAAAUCCUCAGUUGUCAGUUGUAUUUCUUCCUAAAAUUGACCUGCUUGAGAAAGCACCUGUGACUGAGCCACCUGCUGAUUGUCCUUUCCCACCUCCACUUUCCCAGCUGACGUUUUCUAACUUCAUAAAAGAAAGGCAGACCUCUCAUUAUUCUGGCUUUCAGGGGUAUAAAAAUUUCUAGGGAACUAGAGGGAUAAUUUGAAAUAGGGUGCCUAGUUGAAGGUAAAAGAAAAUCCGUUCAUAGAUCAAGUGGCUUCUAAUUCUUUGCUUUUAACAAAUUGAGAUGGUUAAUGGAAUUGUUAGCUAUGGGAUAGUCUGCUAUUUCCCCCCAGUGCCCAUCUCCCUGAGGCUUCCAUUUUUAACAAGCCCUCCCACCCACCUCCACUGAGUUUUAACAGAACAUGUCUACCUAGCUGGAGACUACGUUUCCUAACCUUUUUUCAUAGAUGAGGUUUAACUCUGUGGCUAAAGUUCUUGUCAAUAGCCAGUAAAAGGAAGUAGUAUGUGCUACUUACAGGUCUUGCUCUUUGUAGUAGAUUGGGAAAAAGAAAAAAGGAAAAAAAAAUACCUCACAUUUCUCCAUCUCUAAAUACUCGCCUCUUGAGGCGUGACUUCUCUGCCUGUGGAAUCUAGGCUUAGCCAUAUUACUUGCUUUAGCUGAUGAGACAAACUUAGCAAAUGUGGUUCAAGCAGAGUCUCGUAAAAUCCUUAUAUGUUGGAUUUUUGCCCUAUUUUGCUGCUUUUAGAACCCAGCCACUCUGACAAAGCCAGACUAGCCUGCUAGAUGCUAGAGAUGUGACACAGGUCUCUCUCGUCACCCCAGCCGAGCAUCAGACCUUUGGCGGAGGCCGUCUUCAACCAUCAGUACCCAGACAACCUCCAGCUGACUACAGACAAAGGAGUGAGCCCAAGGGACCAGUAGAACAACUGCCAGUUUAGCGCAGCCCAACCACAGAAUUGUAAGCUAAUAAAUGACUCUCAAAAUUUUAAACUACCAUUGGAGUUUGCAUUGUGGCGCAGCGGAAACGAAUCCGACUAGUAUACAUGAGGAUUCGAGGUUUGAUCCCUACCCUCGGGGAUCUGGUGUUGCCAUGAGCUGCGGUGUAGUGUAGGUCACAGGUGCAGUUUGGAUCCCCUGUUGCUGUGGCUGUGGUGUAGGCUGGCAGCUGUAGCUCUGAUUAGACCCUUAGCCUGGGAACUUCCAUAUUUCCCAGGUGC